AUGGAAGGGAAAAAGCCGGCCAAGGUGCCGGAUCUUCUCCUUCCAGAAGUGGAGCUCCUCGAGAUAGCUGCGGAAGGGGCCCCUCCGCUCCCCCGCAAGGACGCCAUCGAGCUGGGCUCCUCUGGAGGUAUUCUAACUGCUUGGGACGGUAAUCUCUGGACUUGCUCCUCGGUAUCUAAAAAUCAGUUCUUCAUCUCUUGCUCCUUUGAAUCCAAGGUGGAUGACCUCUCAUUUACCUUAACUAAUGUGUACGGCCCUUGCGACCCGUCUGAAAAACAUGCUUUCUUAGACUUGCUCAUAAGUCUCUCUUCCGCAAUUACCCCCUGGGCUAUCAUUGGCGACUUCAACCUCAUCCUCCGCCGCUCAGAUAAAUCUUCCCCAAACUUCAACUCGAUUGAGGCCAUGCUUUUCUCUGACGCUAUCCAAUCCAUGAGACUGCAAGACCUCCCCCUCCUCGACCGGCGCUAUACUUGGUCCAACCAACAAGACGCUCCCAUCCUCGUAUGUUUAGACCGGGCUCUAGUCAACGUGGCAUGGGUUCAACACUUCCCAGAUAGCUCUCUCACCUCCUCCACUCGAUCCACGUCAGACCACGUCCCAAUCCAACUGUCGGUGGCCACUCAAAUCCCAAAGCCCCAGAUCUUCCGGCUCAAUAAUGCCCUUCUAGCCAAUCCCUCUUUCCGGAUCAAGGUGGCUUCAAACUGGGCCAGCGUAGGGUCCCGUCACCUGGAGAGGGGUUCGGUUGGGAUGCUUGCCUUGCGCCUCAAGCGAACUCGAGAUAUGGUCAAGAAGUGGUCAGCUAACUUUCGUCUACCCACUACUUUGGCAAAGAACUGCCACACCACGAUCAACCUCUUAGAUAAGAUGGAAGAAUCCCGCAUGCUUUCACCCAUUGAGCUUCAUCUUCGGACCGCAGUCAAAUUAUCCUUACACCGCUACAAUGCCGAUCUGGCUGCCUACUGGCGGCAACGAGCUAAAAUCAAAGACUGCGUUCUUGGUGACGAAAAUUCGGCCUAA
rnacentral:rRNA from 1 species